AGUGAACGCUGGCGGUAGGCCUAACACAUGCAACUCGAACGGCAGCACAGUAAGAGCUUGCUCUUACGGGUGGCGAGUGGCGGACGGGUGAGGAAUACAUCGGAAUCUACUUUUUCGUGGGGGAUAACGUAGGGAAACUUACGCUAAUACCGCAUACGACCUACGGGUGAAAGCAGGGGAUCUUCGGACCUUGCGCGAUUGAAUGAGCCGAUGUCGGAUUAGCUAGUUGGCGGGGUAAAGGCCCACCAAGGCGACGAUCCGUAGCUAGUCUGAGAGGAUGAUCAGCCACACUGGAACUGAGACACGGUCCAGACUCCUACGGGAGGCAGCAGUGGGGAAUAUUGGACAAUGGGCGCAAGCCUGAUCCAGCCAUACCGCGUGGGUGAAGAAGGCCUUCGGGUUGUAAAGCCCUUUUGUUGGGAAAGAAAAGCAGCAGGUUAAUACCCCGCUGUUCUGACGGUACCCAAAGAAUAAGCACCGGCUAACUUCGUG
rnacentral:rRNA from 1 species